GCUAGAAGCCACGGGAGCACAUUGCUGUGCUGCUGAGCCACAACCCAGCUGCUGUGCAGCAGAGCAGCUCGCUCUGGCUGGGGUGGUCCGAGCGGUCCCCAUCUGCUGUUUGUUUGGCACACAGUGCUUUCCCAUUGUGACGGAGCUGGGUGGUGGGUUCCAACUCGGGUGCCUGCAAGUUGGGUCUCCUGGCCACUUGAUGGGAGGCUGUGGACAUCUGGCAUCUCCUCCAUCCCCCGGAGCUCUGGCUCAGCCUUUGUGAUUCUAUGAUUCUCAGCGUUGGGACUGUGACUACGGAGACUUUAGAUCUGACCCGACGUGCUGAGCGCCGAGGCUGUGAUGGAUCGUAACGCUGAGUUAUUUGCAGCUCAGUGGCUGGCAGGCAUCUGUGAAGUCGUCUCAUUCUGAGAAUGGGCCUGUAAAACAGGUUUGGGAUGAAGGAUCCCCUUUCAAAAUGAAGGGCUGUCUGAAAGGGAGGGGGUCUGGUGCUGCUGAUGAAUCAAGCUGACCAGAGGGGUUUAUGUGAGCGUCCAGGCUGCAAUUGGCAGCUCUCUCUUUUCAGUGGUGUGGUUAUUACACGGCCUUACAGUCUUUUUAGUGGCUGUUUCUUGUGAUGGUUCUGGUGGAGGUGUUACUUUUGCUUUAAGUCUGUAGCAGGAAAUUCAUGCAAAGUGGAGCUGGGGGAGGCAUUAAGGGUUUUCUGGGUACAAUAGGCAAAUACCAAUGGGUGGAAACUUAGAAAAAAUACCUCCGUCUUCCACGGCAAGUUGUCUCUGUCUGACCCCUGUGCCAGCACAGCAGGAAGGGGAUGGGGGGCUCCCAGCUUGGCUCUGUGACAUGGCAGAUGCUGGUGUGCUCUCCCUUUGCCUCACAGCAACCCCAAGCUUUCCACUGCUUCCCCAAAUGCCCUAACCAGUAGGCGUCUGCAUACUGGCUUGCUUGCAUUCCUCUUAAGCUGCACUUUCUCUGUCUGCACAGUGCAGCAGUUACCUCAUUCUGUGGAAGGCUCUUCAGCUGUCCCUCAGUUUCCCACCAGCACAAUACAGCAGCUUUCCCCCCUACAGGCCCACAGAGGGGAGAAACUCAUGGAAGGGGCUGUAGACUGCAUCAUUCUGCAGUAUGGAAGGAACUGGAGCGUAAUACACCUCACUGCAUGACAGCUACCCUGCAGCUGCUGAGCGCAAAGUGAUGCCAUGGCAGCUGGGGUUGGGGUUGCCCCGGUGUGGGGUUUUUGCUCACUCUUUCCACAUAGGCCAGCAGCAGCACCAGGCACACUUUGCCACUCCACCAAUUUGUGGUCAUGUUCCAGCUCAGUCGAUUUGCAAGACUUGAAAAGAAGAGGUGAUGCACACAAGGGACCCGGCAGCGCUCGUCCCUCCCUGUGGUUCUUGCUAAGGCUCCACCAAUGCAGAAUAGAUCAGGGCUAGGAAUAAACAUUUGUAAGCAACAGCUACCCUGUUAAUUGUUUUUGUCUGAGUGAAUGCUCCCUCAAGUUACAACACGACCAAGAUUCCUUGUCAGGAGAAACUUGCACAUGUGUAUGAUUCAUUGAUAAAGCCCUAAAUCCUCUGGGCUUAGCAGCAGCAGAAUCAGCACAAGGCAAGCACAGACCUUACCAGAACAGCAUCAACGCUCUGGGAGAGAAAUCAAACACCAUUUAAAUCCUAGGUGAAGGUUCCUCCACCCAGAUCUGCCUGCCUAUGUACAAGCAAGGUGUUGUAGGCUCAUCCAAACAUGGGGAGAAGCUUUGGCCAGUUUUCAUUCUUCAGGGGAGCUUUCUCAAUGGAAAUGGCUGAGAGGAAUCGGACAACCUGGCGCAGCUUGAUGAAGGUUAGGCUUACACUGUGUAAUCUUUCAGAGCCAACAUCAAAACACAAGACCAAGCAAUCAUGAAACAAACAGCAGAUAGCAAUCCCUGCAGGAAUUUCUUUGAGAGACCGUCUGAGACGUGCAAGAAGCUUUGUCUGGUUCCAGCCAGGCUGCAAGGUGAAGAUGGCAUAGCAAGAGAAUACCAACAACUGCAAGGAAAGACAGAGAAGCUCUAAAAAAGAUGUUCCUCCAGCAUUAUGAGUUAAACCUUCUUAGCACUGUAAAUUGUUCUUCUGAAUUACGUGUAACUCAAGAAUUUCCAACAGCGGGUACUUGUACGUGCCUGUUCGCCACAUCAGAGCUCUUGGGCUGUGAUUAAGGCUGGGAUCCAGCAGGUCUGGGUGCCCUUCCAGCUCCUGCCAUGGGCUGGCUGUGACUCUAGGCAAAUGGUUUAAUGUGACCGCUUUAUGGGUCUCCUUUCUGUCAUCUCUCCUGCCCUGUCUGGAUAGACCAGAAGGUCUCCAGGCUGGGGUAUGUCUUUACAGAACUGACUGUGGUGGGACCCUGACCUUCGCUGGAGCAAGUGGGAUAAUUGUGCAUCCACCCAGAAAGCAAACAGAAUGAGAAUUCAGGCAAACAAAGGCGGAAGACUUUCAUUAGAGAAGAGCACUGGUUCACACGCCAGUCCCAUCUCUUUAGAUGUCCCUCUUCUAAGACUGUUGUAGUAACACUUCAGGGAAAAAUUAAACGUUCUGUGUUUGCACCAAGCUUUUUUUUUUCUUCAUCUAAGCUUCAAAAGACUUUUCCCACAGGUGGGGUUCAACAUCAUUAUCUCCGUAACAGAAAAGACAAACAAGAAGGCAGAAGCUCACUCCAGGGAGCUGACAUCACAGUUUUCUGUUGUAACCACAACCUUGAGCAGCACUGAUCUGUGUGCCCACGUUCAGGAGGUCCUUAUCUCAGGCAUGGCCCCACUUUGCAGCACUGUACAAACACGGUCACAGCUUGAAAACUGAGGAUGUGGGGCUUUAGUUCAGCUCCUGCUGAAAGCCAGUGCUGUGAUCAGGUUGGGUUCUGCACCCAACAAAACAGUCUGCUGCACAACACCAUGGAUGUGCUUCUAUACCAGGCUGUCUGUAGACAGUCCCAGUGCAGCAGAGCCUUGGCAACGUCAGUCCUCCACUAAACCCUUCCCAACCACCUCCCUUGCAUCCCAGGAUUACAUUGCAGCCAUGAUUUUAGGAGAGACAGUAGGAGAGAGAGAAAAAGCUCUGGAGCGACAUUGAGUUCAAUUGGAAAGAUGAUUGGGAAAAAAAGCAAUGAGAGAAGCCUUAUAUUACCUCUUUCCCUGCUUUCUCGAUCUCCACCGUCACCGUGCUGUGGUUCUUAUGCUCCUGGAACAUGCAGAGGUAGCAGAUGCACAUCUGGUCUGUCUGA